rnacentral:rRNA from 1 species
CAAUAGCGUAUAUUAAAGUUGUUGCGGUUAAAAAGCUCGUAGUUGGAUUUCUGCCGAGGACGACCGGUCCGCCCUCUGGGUGAGUAUCUGGCUCGGCCUGGGCAUCUUCUUGGAGAACGUAGCUGCACUUGACUGUGUGGUGCGGUAUCCAGGACUUUUACUUUGAGGAAAUUAGAGUGUUUCAAGCAGGCUUACGCCUUGAAUACAUUAGCAUGGAAUAAUAAGAUAGGACCUCGGUUCUAUUUUGUUGGUUUCUAGAGCUGAGGUAAUGAUUAAUAGGGAUAGUUGGGGGCAUUCGUAUUUAACUGUCAGAGGUGAAAUUCUUGGAUUUGUUAAAGACGGACUGCUGCGAAAGCAUUUGCCAAGGAUGUUUNCAUUGA